CGACGCACUGCGUCGUUGUAAGUCUCGUCGGACAAUUUACCGGACCACACUGGACGUCGGCUGCGGGACGAAUAGGUAGUAUCGUCGGAUCUGUAAUUAGUGAAAGCACCAAUUAGUCAUGAGCGGAAAAUGGAAUGGAACCAAACAAAACAUAAAUUACAAUGUUAUGAUCGGUCUACCACAAAAGAUUUAAAUUUUUUUGUGUCGCUUGGUAUAUAACAUUUGGACCUAUUUCGACUCGACUCAACAACAGUUACUGUGAGCAAAUAGAUAACUGCGCAAAUACAGUUGCUAGAAACGCAAAAAAAUUUAGAUGAAAUGAGACCUGGAGAAUAGAGAUACCAGUAAUUAACGUUACACCUGUAUAAGCAGGUCAAUCGCUGGAAGCGACACAGACAUCGAGAAACAGAACAGCAUGCAAGCAAUGUGCAGCAAGUAAAAGUCAAGGGAGAUACGGCUGUGAACUUUGACAACGGCAUGAUUACCAAUAAAGAACGCUAUAAUCGAUUGCCUUCUUUACUAGAUACGCGCACGAAACGGCAAAUACAUAUUUAUAUAUUCUGUGCCGAAUACACAAAAUUGUAUAUUACACUCGGAAAGUAAAUGAUUCCUUAAAAGGUAGCAGGUAACAGGCAGGAGGAAGCGUAACCACCGCAAUGAAGCAUAUUAAUUAUUGAUUACGAUCACGUUCUCUCUUGUAUUUAUCGCAUUAGGGCAGGGGUUCCUCCAGGGGAGUAAAUCUUUUAACAGCUAAAACAAGCUAUAAGGUAUUGGUAUUGACUUAAAGUGUUGACACCAUAAACAACCUGCCAUCAGCUGGAAUGAAGACGUGUGAUUGUGAUACAUAUUGAGCCAAAUCACUAACGUUAGACAUGCAGAGGCAUGUCUGGUAGUAACUAUCAAAAAGGCCUUUAAAUGUUUAUAUGUAUAUGGGUAAAUUUUCAGUUGGCUAUAUUUAUAAUUAAUAUAUAAUAUAAUUAAAACCCCACCAAACCUGGGGAAGUAGUGCACAUGAGUUGGCCACACAUCGCGAAACUGCGCAUAUCCUGACGCUAAUAAUGCAGGCUCCCGAGAUUUUUUCACCGAGGGUAUCCUCUUUCGUCGCCGAUGGCUUGCAUUUCGGGAUACACAUCCAGGUCCAAGCUGCUGCUGCUCCCUAUAGUGCGCAAUGCCUUCCACAACCAGGCCGACAGAGGAGCACAUGCCUCAGGCCCUUGGAAAAUUUUACGGCAUCAAGCCAACAGACGGGAUAUUAGACCGCUUAGCGCGCUUCAAGCCAACUUGCUCGUCGGAUCCAACAAUGUAAACUGCGUAGGUUGACUGAUUGAUGGCUUCUCCUCCUCGCCUAAUGUAUCCGAAUUUGACUGAACAUUUAUUGAACAACCGAAUAAUACAAUUUCUGUUAGCAACAGC
rnacentral:lncRNA from 1 species